rnacentral:rRNA from 1 species
GAUGAACGCUGGCGGCGUGCCUAAUACAUGCAAGUCGAGCGAACAGACGAGAGUGCUUGCACUCUCUGACGUUAGCGGCGGACGGGUGAGUAACACGUGGGUAACCUACCUAUAAGACUGGGAUAACUUCGGGAAACCGGAGCUAAUACCGGAUAAUAUUUAGCUUCGCAUGAAGCAAUAGUGAAAGACGGUUCUGCUGUCACUUAUAGAUGGACCCGCGGUGUAUUAGCUAGUUGGUGAGGUAACGGCUCACCAAGACAACGAUACAUAGCCGACCUGAGAGGGUGAUCGGCCACACUGGGACUGAGACACGGCCCAGACUCCUACGGGAGGCAGCAGUAGGGAAUCUUCCGCAAAGGACGAAAGUCUGACGGAGCAAUGCCGCGUGAGUGAAGAAGGUUUUCGGAUCGUAAAACUCUGUUGUAAGGGAAGAACAAGUACGUUAGUAACUGAACGUACCUUGACGGUACCUUACCAGAAAGCCACGGCUAACUACGUG